GGUCGAAUGGUGUAGUUGGUUUAUCACUUCUGUCUAACACGGUUAUUAGUCAUGUGACUAGUGUUCACAGGCGGUCCUCAGUUCGAACCUGGGUUCGAUCA